CUGCGGUUCCUGCGCGCCGUCCGCGCCCCCCUGGCGGCUGCUCGCUACGUUCUGCUAGCC
rnacentral:sRNA from 1 species